UACGAAGGGGGCUAGCGUUGCUCGGAUUGACUGGGCGUAAAGGGCGCGUAGGCGGUUUGUACAGUCAGACGUGAAAUUCCUGGGCUCAACCUGGGGGCUGCGUUUGAUACGUGCGAGCUUGAGUUCGGAAGAGGGUCGUGGAAUUCCCAGUGUAGAGGUGAAAUUCGUAGAUAUUGGGAAGAACACCGGUGGCGAAGGCGGCGACCUGGUCCGAUACUGACGCUGAGGCGCGAAAGCCAGGGGAGCAAACGGG
rnacentral:rRNA from 1 species